AGCAGUAGCCGCGGUAAAACGAAGGGUGCAAGCGUUACUCGGAAUUACUGGGCGUAAAGCGUGCGUAGGUGGUGGUUUAAGUCCGUUGUGAAAGCCCUGGGCUCAACCUGGGAAUUGCAGUGGAUACUGGAUCACUAGAGUGUGGUAGAGGAUAGUGGAAUUUCCGGUGUAGCAGUGAAAUGCGUAGAGAUCGGAAGGAACAUCUGUGGCGAAGGCGACUAUCUGGGCCAACACUGACACUGAGGCACGAAAGCGUGGGGAGCAAACAGGAUUAGAUACCGCGUAGUCCCUGUCUCUUAUACC
rnacentral:rRNA from 1 species